rnacentral:rRNA from 1 species
UUGGACGGUCAUAGCAGCCGGGUUCCACAUGGUCUCAUUUCGAACCCAUAAGUUAAACCGGCUUACGUUCUUAGAAGUACUGCAUUACGCGGGAACCUAAGAAAGCUGUCCAUC